CCGACUGAGCCACCCAGGCACCCCCAACAAUAUCCUUUAUAGGAACUAAUCUAGGAUCAUGUACUGCACUUAGUGGUUGUAUCUCUUUAGUCUUUUUUCCACCCUGUAAAAGUGUAGCAUGGGUGAACUUUCUUAAUUUACCCUCACUCUCGCCCUCUACACCAGGGGUAUCAGAAAAGGCCAAGACUGACCACAGCCCAAACUCAUCCUGCCAGACAUAGAAAAUGAAUAAUUGCUUGAAUGUGUAGAGAGAAGCUUGGAAAUGAUGCCAUGCCUUUUAUCUUCUCUUAUUUUUACUAUAAAAGUUUUGAAAUAGAAUAUGAAUGUGGAAAUAUGUUAAAUCAUUCACUCUUUGCUGAAUUCUUCCUAGAUAGAAUAUUCACGGGAAAAUGUCUUCUUUCCAAAUGGUUCUAAGACAACGUCUCUUAGGUUGUAUAUUCUCAGGUCUGAUCUCCAAGUAAAUCUCAGAUCUCUCCUUUUGAUGGUGUAAGAAUCUUCAUAUAUCACCAAAACAGAAGAAUAUUGACUGACACAAAGCUAGGAAGCUGGAUGCAGCUCUUUAAAGAAAAUCUCAGCCUUUUGUACGUUUGUUGAAUUGUUCUACACUGAUUUGUGUCUGUGACAAUUACUUAGAUUAUGGAAAUUUGUGGGCUUAA